CGAAGGGUGCCGAGCCAAGCUGACUCAGGGCCCACCCGAGGGUCGAGGCCCUGGGAGGACUUCGGUACUGGACGCCGCUUUCCCUGAACACCCUGAUUCACCAGGAGCCUGCCGCAUCACUGCUUCCUUGACUGCGAUUGCGUCAAGAUCCCGCCGAGGGAAACUAUUGAAGUUAGCUGACAUAAUAAACUGGAAGAACCAUUGUUCAGUCCCAAAGGUGUGAUCAUCCAGUUUACAAGCUCCAAGAUACCAGGAAAGUUAUCAUCCCUAGCAGAGUUGGCUAAAAAAAAUUAGUAGUCCCAAUUAUUGUCUCAUAAUUACUACUCGUGUAAACUACAUUGUACAAUUCAGUCCAUUCUUUGGCACAUUUGUUUUCUGACUUUAUAGUAUAUAAGAAUUUGUCAACGCCUGCUUUCUUAUUUUUAGGCUUUUUUUAAAAGGUUAAAAUUGAGGAGUGCCUGGGUGGCUCAGUAGUUAAGCGUCUGCCUUCAGCUCAGGUCGUGAUCCCAGUGUUCUGGGAUCGAGCCCCGCAUCAGGCUCCCUGCUCAAUGGGAACCCUGCUUCCCCCUCUCCCACUCCCCGUGCUUGUGUUCCCUCUCUCGCUGCCUGUCUCUGUCAGAUAAACAAAUAAAAUCUUUAGGAAAAAAAAAUAAAUACA
rnacentral:lncRNA from 1 species